AGACUGCAGCUGAGGCCUCAGCGAAAACACAGAUUGAAGUUAUAAAGGGCUCUGGGGUGUUUUGCCAGGCAGAAGUGUGGAAAGCAGCCCGCCUUGCCAACUCUGCUACUGCCAUGGCGCCAAAUCUGCUGCUGGGCAUCUUUGAUUUGGAGACUUUGCUGAAAAGCAACCUGAAUGGUGGGAAGCCAACCAGAGGGGAUGGGGAGAAGCUGGUCGCCCUUGACAAAAUUAAAAAGGCAGCCAUUAUUGGUGAGUAAAUGUAUAAUGCGUUGAGAAGCGAAAACACAUCUUUUAAGACAUUAUAAGUUCA